rnacentral:lncRNA from 1 species
CAAAGAAAUCUUUUUACAUCGGUUAAAAAAAGUUUUCUAUAUAAGUUUUAGAAUUGACAUAAAUACAAACGAUAUAGAAAGUUUUCACUUUCUUACAAGUUAUUCCAUAAUCGAUAUAACUUUCAUCAUUUAGGAUUUCUUCUUCUCUGUUACAAACUCCUAUCUUGCUCUCUUCUUAUUCACAUGCGAUGGUCACUUCUCCUCAUCGUCGUCAUGUUCACCUCCACCACCGGCAUCGACGUGGCCCACUCUUCCUCGCAUAAGGGUUCUUCCUCCUUCUAAACAUGAGUUGUUGUCGCUUAGCCUCGUCAAAACUAGCAACUCAUUUGCAUUACUUGAGUUUCUCCCUCUUUACAUAAGAUUUUCCUUCUUCUUCUUCUUCAAACACCCCAAAUCUCCACCAUCACACCAAAUCCUCAAAUCGAAUUGAUUACACCUCUUUAAUUUCCCUAAAAUAAAUCGAUGAACAAAAUACAUCAAAAAAUAAUUAAGGAAUCAUGUGCACCUACCUACAUGCAUUUAUCCAUGUUGAUUUGUCU